rnacentral:lncRNA from 1 species
ACACCUGUCCACACUGCACACACCUGUGAACUGCUGCACACACCUGUACACACCUGAGCACACUGUACACACCUGUGCACUGCUCUACACACCUGCACACACCUGUGUACACUACACACACCUGUACACACCUGUACACACCUAAGCACACCUGUACACACUGCACACACCUGUACACACUGUACACACCUGUGCACACCUGUACACACUGCACACACCGCACACCUGCACACAUUGCACACCUGCAUGCCCCGCGUGCCCUGCACACACUGCACGCUCGCUGCCCACGCUCUGCCCGCUCCAGCCCCGUGCCCGGGACACUGCCGCCCCCCGGGCCGGGUCCUGCCGCUCGGACCGAACCGAGCUGAACCGAACCGAGCCCCGGCCGGUCCCUGCCCGGGCUCCGAAGGGGCGGCCGCAGCCGUGCCCGGGACCAGCGGCGUGUCCCGACUCUGCGGGGUCCCAGCGGAGCAGCAGCCCGGCCUGGGCUCUCCGGGACCCCCUCUCUCCCCGGCGGGGACAGAUCGCCUCGAAGGCUUCGAGGAAGCGGCGCGGGGGAAGAGCCUCGAGAAGCGCAGCCUUCUCCUCCCUCCUCUCCUCCUUCUCUCCGGGGGGAGGGCACCCCGCCAGCCCUUCCCGUACCCCCCCGGCCGCUCAUUCCCGCUUCUCCUGGCCCUGAAUUAUUCAGCCCGGCUUGGGAAGGCCGGGCCGCGGGGACAGGAGAAGGGAGGGGGCUGCGCAGCCCCGGCUGUGCGGGGGCAGGACAGGACCCGUCCUCGACCACCCCACGUCCCCCCAAACUCCUACCGCCCCCUCCACAGCGGAGCCCCCAGACUGCGGGGACGGGGCGAGUCAGGCUCCGCACGCCGGGCUGCCGGGGGUCCCCGGCUGGGAGUUUGGGGGGCGCGGAGCGGCGUGGGCGGGGCGCGGGGGGCUGUUUUUAUGAAUGAGCUGCUAUUACUAUGCGGCGCGCGCGCUCCCGCGCUGCCCGCCCGGGCGCUGAUUGGCUCCGGCGCGCCAUUGACGUCACAGCGGGGCGAGCGGGGCCGGGGGGGCCGUGAGUCACCCCGAGCCCCCCGGACCCCCCCGGCCCCGCUCGGGCGCUAUAACUCGGCGGCGCCCAUGGCAGCGGGGCCCCAGCCGGGCAGCCCAACGCAGCCCGGGCCCGGCAAACCGGCAGGAAAAUCCCCUCGGAGCAAACAGCGAGCACACUCUCAACCUACACUGCUUUGCCCACGCUCCUGAAGACAACUUUUGGAGGCAGCAGUACUGUCCCGUCUGGGCAGCACGGGGGCAGCUUGUGGACAGCAGGUGCUGAGGGGCUGCUCUUGGAGGUCACCCUCGGCCAUCAUGAUGGAGAAAGAGCCCCCCAACUCCAGCGAAGGCCAGCAAGGCUGGUUCUCAGCCAGGAACGGCAGUGGCAGCUCCUUGGAUCUGGAGUCUGUGGUGCAGCCCCUCGCCUUGAACCUGUGGGACGUUGUCCUCUGCAUCUCGGGGACCAUCAUCUCCUGUGAGAACGCCAUCGUGGUGGUGGUCAUCUUCUACACCCCGGCUUUCCGCGCCCCAAUGUUCCUCCUGAUCGGCAGCUUGGCCACAGCCGACCUCCUGGCAGGCUUGGGGUUGAUCCUGCACUUUGCCUUUGUGUACUUGAUUCCGUCGGAAGCGGUCAGCCUGCUCACCGUGGGGCUCCUGGUCACCUCCUUCACGGCCAGCGUCAGCAGCCUGCUGACCAUCACCAUCGACCGCUACCUGUCCCUCUACAACGCCCUCACCUACUACUCAGAGAGGACGGUCACCAGGACUUACAUCAUGUUGAUCCUCACCUGGGGAGCCUCCAUCUGCUACGGGCUGCUGCCCGUCAUGGGCUGGAACUGCCUGAAGGAGCCGUCCUCCUGCAGCAUCGUCAGACCGCUGACCAAGAACCACCUCAUCAUCCUGUCCGUCUCCUUCUUCGCGGUGUUCGCGGCGAUGCUGCAGCUGUACGUGCAGAUCUGUAGGAUCGUGUGCCGGCACGCGCACCAGAUCGCCGUCCAGAGGCACUUCUUGGCCAGCUCCCACUACGACAGCACCCGCAAGGGCAUCGCCACCCUGGCCGUCAUCCUGGGCACCUUCGCGUCCUGCUGGCUGCCCUUCGCCGUGUACGGGCUGCUGGGCGAUGACAGCUCCCCGGCCCUCUACACCUACGUCACCUUGCUCCCCGCCACCUACAACUCCAUGCUCAAUCCCGUCAUUUACGCCUUCAGGAACCAGGAGAUCCAGAAAGUGCUGUGGGCCGUGUGCUGCGGCUGCUUCUCCUCCACGCUGCCUUUCCGCUCCCGCUCCCCCAGUGACGUCUGACGUGCCCCCCCGCAUCUUCCACUCACCGCUUCCAGUCGGGGAUUUGCUCUGAUUCCCCCUUUUCAUUCCCAGAGGCACAUUGCAGGAGCUCUUGGAAUCGAGCAGCUCUUCCCAGCCUCGUCCUUUUUGGGCACAACCCCUUCUUUUCCUCUAUUUUUCCACUACUUUUUGAAAAGAGAGAAAAACGUAUUUUUUAUUCAUAAUAUAAUCUAUAUUUAUGUGUGUGAGAGAGGGGGGUGAUCCUCAUAUUUUCUUUAAAACUAUUUAUGAUGCUUUAUUUUUUUAAAGGGUGAGGAAACACCAGGGAUGUUCAUCCCCUUUUUUUUUUUAUUUUUUUUUUUUUUUUACAAUCUUGUUAUUUACCUCAGACAAAAUAUAUUUUAUACAUUUGGGGAAGGGGAGGAGAGACUCGUUGUCAGAGGAGGAGGGACUCAACCCCCUCCCCCCUUUCUUCCAGCCAUCCAUCCAUUUAUUUAUUUAUUGGUAUUUGAAUUAUUAUUUAAUUUGAUUUCCAUGCCUCCUUCCUGCCGCCCAGCGCUGGGCCCUGCUGCCCUCUAGUGCUCGCUGCCUUCAGGAGGGGGGGGCUGCCGGAGGCUCUGCACCCCCGAACCCACAAGUUUUGGGGUCCUCUGUGUGCUGCCACCCCCCUCACGGCACCCAGGGCUCCCCCUGCCAAAGCCUUUCUUUGCACCGGGGUUGGAUUUGCACAUUUCUGGGCUGGGGAGAUGGAUGUGAAAGGCGAGGGGACCGCCGGGGAUGGGGACCCCUCACGAUAGGGACCCCUGUGGAUGGGGACCCCUCAGUGGGUCAGGGUGGCGGGGCUGCUUCUUGUUUACAGCUCUGGUAGGGGAAUAAAUUAAUUUGUGGUACGAGGUGCGGCUGUUUG